UCAACUUCAGUAGCUGCAUGUACUUCAUCCGGAAAUAUUACAGCAUCUUGAUAUUCAUACUUCAUCCACAUAACUUGGACUGCAUGGACUGCUCCUUGACUGUUCAUAUGCUGCAUGCAUGCCAACUUCAACAGAUGUAUUGUCAAUAAGCAACAUAAAGAUCCAUUUUCGAAAGGAAAAACACAAAGAGCAAGAGAGCUGUUGGAGAUUGUACACUCUGACCUCUGCG
rnacentral:lncRNA from 1 species